rnacentral:lncRNA from 1 species
UUCUAAGAGCGAGACGUUUUGGGGGUGUCCCUGCUCUUUCUAGGUGAGGUCCGUGCAGAAACCCUGCAACAGCCCGUCAACAGCAGUAUUUAAUGCUUAUGGAUAUUGUGGCGAACUGGCCUACUGGACGACACUCUGGAGACUCUUGCAUCUUUUUCUCUAUAGAUUUAUUCUUCUCCAUCCACACAAAAAAGAAAACCACAGAUCAGUAUGGACACUGGACUUUUUAACAGAACACAAACAGAGAGAGAUCAAGAAGAAAGAGCUUUCUUUACCUUCAUCCACACAAAAGCACAUUUGCUAUGAGCUAUAUAGCUAAUCUCACUGCGUAAGCCCCUCAUCAAGCUCAUUUGAGCCCCUGCAGUACCUAAAACAGCAAUCAGAGGCAGAGCUGUAUGAAGGACAGACAGGGGACAGACAAGUGUCAACCCUGACUAGUGGAGGAGAACAUGCCAAGAUGCAUGGAUUAAAAACAAGGGUUAUUUCACCAAAUAUUGAUUUUCCCCUUUUUUUGCAAAUAAAUGCUCAAAUUACUCAAACA